UGUGCCUUCAUUCCAUCACUUGUAAAAAAAAAUAGAAAAGAAAAGAAAGCAGGGGUCAUUGAACUCUCACGUUCUACUCUCUCUCUCUCUCCAGAUCGCUCCUCUCCCUGUCUCACUCUGAGUCUUCUCUCACUCUUGGAUGAAAACUCUCUUCUUUACCCAGAAAUCAUAGUCUUCCUCUCUCUUUCAUUCUGAAAUCCCAAAUAGGGAAACCCCCAAUCUCAGAUUCCCCAAAAUCAACCAAAUCUCUAUUGGUCGAACCCUCAAUCUGAAACCCAAAUUUCAUUGACCUAACUCUCAUCUCCACAAUUAGAGGAUAUACACCGACAAAUAAGACGAAGUUCAUGGAAAUCCUACUUCGGCUGCUCUAGCUCCUUCCUAGGUUCACGCACAUCAAUUUCAUUUCCUCAUGGUAUUGCAAGGCUGGGCAUCUUGCUGAGUUUUAUGAGUAUUGCAAGGGCUUGAAUCUUGCUAGAACUUUUCAGUUUCCAAGAUGGUGGAUCUCAGCCCCACGUCUGAAAUCUUAAGUCCGGCAAGUAUGCGGAGCGUGUCGGCGUCAGAGCUCCGGUGUAUCUCUCUGCCGUCCUUCAAUACCUGGCUGCUGUGGGGUCUUUACUGAUUGAGCUUAUUCAGCAGAUGCAAGUACAAGGUGUGCAGGAUUCCUGAGAAAGAAUUUUUCAAAGCAUUCAAGACAUACCCGCGUCUAAAGCAGAAGGUUAACAAUUUCAAUCAUCAAAGGUCUUCCAUUAAUAACACAGAGGAGGAAUUUGUUGCCAUUUGACCCGAAUGGACAUGGACAACUGUUGACCGGAUCCUUGCUUGCAGGGGCGAUGAUGAGAAGCAAUAUCUUGUAAAGUGGCAAGAACUUCCUUACGAUGAAUGCUAUUGGGAAGUGGAGGCUGAUAUCUCUACAUUUCAGCCAGAAAUAGAGAAAUUCCAUAGAAUCCAGUCUAGAUCUCACAAAUUGUCUGGUAAGCAGAAGAGCAGUCUUAAAGAUGCUCUCGAAUCAAAAAAGAAGCAGAAAGAGUUUCAACAGUUUGAACACAGUCCUGAAUUUCUUUCUGGAGGUACACUGCAUCCCUAUCAGCUUGAAGGUUUGAACUUUUUAUGCUUCUCCUGGUCCAAACGAACUCCUGUGAUACUUGCAGACGAGAUGGGACUUGGUCAGUGUAUUUAUCACUUUAACCUAUGGUAUAAUUUUCUUUCUUGAUAGCUGAAUUUUACCAGCGGCUUGAGAUUUAUUUGGUUGCAGGAAAAACUAUACAGAGUAUAGCUUUUUUAGCAUCUCUGUAUGAAGAGAAAGUCUAUCCACAUCUAGUGGUGGCUCCACUUUCAACGUUACGAAAUUGGGAACGGGAAUUCGCAACAUGGGCACCUCAAAUGAAUGUUGUGUGGUUUUUAUGUAGGUGAGGAGAGGAGCAGACAAAGCGGAGAUUUACAGUCUUGCUUUCUCUUCCACUGCCCAAUGGCUAGCUGUCUCAAGUGACAAGGGUACUGUCCGUGUUUUCAGCGUAAAGGUUGACUCAGGAUCUUUGGGGAAUGAUGGAUCAUGCAGUACAUCAGAAAUUAGUGGUUCUAAUUUAUCAGGCAUUUCAUCUCUGUCUUACAUCAAAGCUGUCCUUCCAAGGUAUUUUAGUUCAAAAUGGUCAGUGGCCAAAUUUCGCUUGCAGGAAGGUGUACGGUACAUUGUUGCUUUUGGCCACCAGAAGAACACAGUUAUCAUUGUUGGCAUGGAUGGGAGGUAACCAAAUUUGUCAUUUCUCUUAUUACUUGUCGGGUAUAUGGGGUUGAAGGUUGACUAUUUUACUGCUUACCAUACAACAUAUUUAAUAUCCUGCAAUUCCUUCCCAUUACUCAAUAAUACAGUAUGUAUGGCAAUCUGCCUCCCUCUUAUCUGAGUCUAUUGAUUUUUGCCCUGGCUACAACUAAAAUGUUUGUUCCUCAUUUUAGUUUGAUCCAUUUAUCUGCAGUCAUUAGCCUAGAUUUAUGUGGAACUUGGUUUCUGGGUUCAUUAGUUCCAUGAAUUAUUGCCUAACUAACUUUUUGUAAUAGAAUUUGGGUAGAGAUAUUUUGUGUGUGUGGCUGUUUUCCCUUUGUUACUUGUUCCAGAUUACUCCAAGGGAUCAUUGUGGUCUUUGGUUGUAAUACUUGGGCUAGUAAAAUCUGUGGUUUGCAUGUUGUCAGGUUCGAAUAUGGUGACAUCUUCAGAUAUCUUUCAGUUGGUCAAUUGUUCAAUUGAUUCUAUAAAAACUCUUAAUUGAUUGUCAUAUUCCACUUUCAUGUUUGUUGCUGUGAAAAUUUCUUCUACUUGUUAGGAUUUAAAUAACGAAGUAUUUUUCAUAUAUUUUAUUCUAAUGCAUGUGUAUGAUUGAUAACAGUAGCAAAAGCAAUAAAGAGAAUGGUUAAACUUGAGUUUUAAGCCACCAAGAUGGUGAGUUAUGCUAGGAGCUUGCGUUGUGAGGAUGUUGAGUUAAGCCACUGUCAUGUUCUUACUUUACUGUCUCCCAGCAAUAAAGAAAAUAUAAUGGUUGAUGGCUUUCUUUCUUACUUGUGUGCAAGCUGAUAAAUCACUUAUUCAGUUACUGAAUGUCUCAAUUGUGUUAUUUGAUUGUGGUUUAUUAUUCAUAUUGUACCUGCCAUUGGAAGACAUAGUUUAUUAUUUAGUUAUGGGCCAAAAACUAGAUAAUGUAUAUGAGCAGCAAGGUGAGACUUGUUUCUGAUCAUUGAUACUGCUUUGUAAAAGCUGAGGCAUAAUUACUAAUUUUCUUGUCAAUUUGAAAGCACGUUCAGGCUUAAUUACAGAUUUUAUCUUAAGUGAAAGUUUGGUGGCAGAUUAAAUAUAGCCUUGAAGAAAAUAACAAGAUUUACUUUUCUUAGUUACUGUUUGAUACUAUAGACGAUGAGGUUGGAGCUGCGUUUUCCAUGGUUUACAUAUUUGGAGCUCCGGUCAUGUUUGUUGGGUGUGGGCAGUGCUACACACACCUCAAAAAGUUGAAUGUACAAUCAAUGGUGAAGACUCCUUUGGUUAGAAUGCUUAGGUUAGAAUGCUUUUGUUUUUUUAAUGUUGGUUUGGAUGAUUGGGAAAUGCUCCCUUUUUACAUUUGAAGUUUAUAGUAUGAGUUCGAUUAA